rnacentral:rRNA from 1 species
CGGAUUGUAGGCUGAAACUCGCCUACAUGAAGCUGGAAUUGCUAGUAAUCACAGGUCAGCAUACUGUGGUGAAUACGUUCCCGGGCCUUGUACACACCGCCCGUCACACCAUGAGAGUUGAGAAUACCCGAAGCCCAUGUCAAAGUGGUCGAAGGUAGGCUUGAUGAUUGGGGUGAAGUCGUAACAAGGUACC